ensembl:lncRNA
UUCACUUUCAUUCUAUAGAACCAUCUGUCACAGUGUUAAGGUCUUGCUCCAGAGUGGUAACUCUUAGCUGGGAAACCAUUGCUGUCUAUGCUGAGCUAGGAUUGUUUUUCCCUUCAUGCAUCAAUGUUAUGUUUAUACGCAAUGAAUUUCAGCUGUUUUUUUUUUUUAUUGCCUAGCUGUUUGGUCUCGUCAGGCCCUUCUGCAGUUCUUCAGUCUGCUCACGUUCUUACUCUUCUGCAUAACUCAGUGUCAAUGGCAGUCUUUAACUCAUGCCUUAUCCAUUUUUCUAAUAAUGCCUGAAUGUACUAAAUAGCUCAUUUCUCAGCACAGGGUGCCAGUAUAGAUGAACUGGUGACCUCCCUUUGUUGUGCACACUGACCGCUCAACUGUUUCUUAUUUUCAGCUUAUUUACUCAUGCAAGCAUUCCUUAUCCUACAGUCAAUUUUCUUUGUCACUCUUAGCAAAAGACUAGAAAUCUUGGCCUGUAUGUUCCAUGGAUGUGAGCGUUACCUCCAGCAUCUCAAUUUGCUGCGUGUGCCACCGGUAUUUGGGCAGAUCACCGCAUCCACUUUUCCCAUGUUUCAUCAGCCCCUGUCCAGGUUUCCGCUGAAAUCCACCUUCACCACCUCUCAGCUUGUGAUGCAGGCUCACCCAUGGCCCCUCCAAGGUCACGUACCCCAUUGUUUAUUUGCUUGAUGAUUGAAUCUUCCAUUGCUCCAACCUGUUUCUUCCUAUCUGGUCUUUGAUCUUCCCCUCACUUCAACUUCCUCUGAAGAAAUCUGUCCUUGGACAUAAGAAUGUAGCUUCCAGGAAUUUUCUGCGUGGUGAAGCUUUGUUUAGAAGUGGGAAAGGAAGGCCUCUUCUGUCACUUCCUCCUGAGACCCUCCCCAACUGCAGGUGCUGCCUGUGAGCACGCACAGACUGAGGCAAUGGCGAAGUCUAAUGGCAGCAAAGAGAAGAUAGUUAACACAUGGGAAGUGCCUGUGAUGUGGCUUUCUGGAAUGAGAGAUUGCGAUCGUGGGAUGAGGAGAGGAGGGAUGAAGAGUAAGGGGAGCAGAGGGAAGGAGGUCCCUCCACAGAGACAAAAGUGGCAGACACAGGAAGAAGCUUUGUUUCCUCCCAGCAGCGCUGGGAAGAGCUGGAGAGAGUUUGAUUUCAAAGUCCAACAAUGAAGCGAUGGCAUUUGUUUCCAAUUCAGCAGGAAUGAGUGUAUGGUUUGAACAAUUCUUUCGAGGUUCCUGGCAGGGGGAAUAUAACUCAUCUCAGCUGGCUGUUUUUGGAGAUCAAAUGACACAAAAAAAAUCGCUCAAAGCUUAGGGUAUCCUUCUGGCAGCCGGAGACCAUGCGCAUCUUCAUAGAUUCGCUAUUUGCUCUAAUGUGGACCAAGAGCUGCGUGCUGUGUAGAAAACUGCUUGCUUACAAAACAAUCUUAUUACUGCCAGAUGUUGGCUCCUUGCCUGCUUUUACAUAAUUCAGGCUUUUCUUUGCUCAAGAUGUUACAAUUUAAAGGUGCUUUAGAAGUUUUAUUUUAAAAGCCUUGAUAAUGCUUUUAUCCUUAUUCUUUUUUCCCCUCUUGCUCAGAGUGGCUCUUCCAUCACCACAUGCUGCAAUCUGGUGUAUGUGGAAUAUGUUAAUGUGUGUAACCAAGAACAGCAAAACUUUCUUAGCUCUACCCCUGAGCUGAUUAAGACAAGCAUAAAAAUAUCCCUAAGGCUGUGCCGUCUGCAUCCUGGUGACUCAUAUGCCAAGUAUAAUGCACACCUUUCUUUUAAAUGCUGUCCUGGAUAGUGUGUGUGUAUUUAUAUGUUUAUCUAUAUGUUUUUAAUUAGAUAUUCAGGUGAGGGAUUACUGUAAGUGUCCAAGGACUGAUAAUAGAGGCUUAAGCCAGGCAAGUGAUGUGCUGUAGAAGAUUUCUCCACACUGCUAGCGGAGCUUUACUCUUGUAGACUUCAUCCUUCAUCCAUGGACAAGUAACUACCAAAAAAACAUCAUCAUAAUCCUGUGGCAUGUUCUUCACUGAAUUUUCAAUGAUUAAACAAACUAGCAAUGAGUAAUAAUUACAAGACUUUUUUUUUUUUUGUAUUCUUUAUGUCCUUCUAAGAUGGCUACUGCAGCUUGGCCAUCAAAACUAUGUGGCUGUGGGGUAGGCUAAUUCUCGAGGAUAACUUCAGGUGCCUUGACACCAUUGCUUGUGCCUCC